rnacentral:rRNA from 1 species
GAACGAAAGUUAGGGGAUCGAAGACGAUCAGAUACCGUCGUAGUCUUAACUAUAAACUAUGCCGACCAGGGAUUUGAGAACGUUACUUUUUGGAUGACUUCUUCAGCACCUUGUGAGAAAUCAGAAGUGUUUAGGUUCAGGGGGGAGUACGGUCGCAAGUCUGAAACUUAAAGGAAUUGACGGAGGGGCACCACCAGGAGUGGAGCCUG